UAUAAGGGGCGUGGCGGCAGCUACCAUGCAGUCGAGCGGUAGCACAGAGAAGCUUGCUUCUUGGGUGACGAGCGGCGGACGGGUGAGUAAUGCAUAGGAAUCUGCCCGAUAGUGGGGGAUAACCUGGGGAAACCCAGGCUAAUACCGCAUACGUCCUACGGGAGAAAGGGGGCUCCGGCUCCCGCUAUUGGAUGAGCCUAUGUCGGAUUAGCUAGUUGGUGAGGUAAAGGCUCACCAAGGCAACGAUCCGUAGCUGGUCUGAGAGGAUGAUCAGCCACAUCGGGACUGAGACACGGCCCGAACUCCUACGGGAGGCAGCAGUGGGGAAUAUUGGACAAUGGGCGCAAGCCUGAUCCAGCCAUGCCGCGUGUGUGAAGAAGGCCCUCGGGUUGUAAAGCACUUUCAGCGAGGAAGAACGCCUAGCGGUUAAUACCCGCUAGGAAAGACAUCACUCGCAGAAGAAGCACCGGCUAACUCCGUGCCAGCAGCCGCGGUAAUACGGAGGGUGCAAGCGUUAAUCGGAAUUACUGGGCGUAAAGCGCGCGUAGGUGGCUUGAUAAGCCGGUUGUGAAAGCCCCGGGCUCAACCUGGGAACGGCAUCCGGAACUGUCAAGCUAGAGUGCAGGAGAGGAAGGUAGAAUUCCCGGUGUAGCGGUGAAAUGCGUAGAGAUCGGGAGGAAUACCAGUGGCGAAGGCGGCCUUCUGGACUGACACUGACACUGAGGUGCGAAAGCGUGGGUAGCAAACAGGAUUAGAUACCCUGGUAGUC
rnacentral:rRNA from 1 species